AGUGAACGCUGGCGGCGUGCUUAACACAUGCAAGUCGAACGAGAACGGAUUAUAGCUUGCUAUAAUUGUCAGCUAAGUGGCGCACGGGUGAGUAAUGUAUAGGUAAUAUGCCUCUUACUAAGGGAUAACAAAUGGAAACGUUUGCUAAUACCUUAUACUCCUUAUUAACCUAAGUUAAUAAGGGAAAGAUUUAUUGGUAAGAGAUUAGCCUGUAUUGUAUCAGUUAGUUGGUGGGGUAAUGGCUUACCAAGACUAUGACACAUAACUGGUUUGAGAGGAUGAUCAGUCACACUGGAACUGAGACACGGUCCAGACUCCUACGGGAGGCAGCAGUGGGGAAUAUUGCACAAUGGACGAAAGUCUGAUGCAGCAACGCCGCGUGGAGGAUGACACAUUUCGGUGCGUAAACUCCUUUUAUAUGAGAAGAUAAUGACGGUAUUAUAUGAAUAAGCACCGGCUAACUCCGUGCCAGCCGCCGCCGUAACAC
rnacentral:rRNA from 1 species